GCCAAAGCGCGGGCUAAGGUUCAAGUUGCAUCGUAGAUGCGAACGGACGCACAUCGUUUUCGGUUCGUGGUCAUGACUUACGUUUCGUGAAUCACGGAAAUUCGAUCGAGUUGUGUCAAUUGUGAUUCGUUGGCGUGCAUUCUACAAUCUGGAAUUGGAUCCGGAACAGAGUCGCCGUUAUGAGGCGCGUACCGUGGACCUCGGUGUUUCUCCGAGUACUUUUGCUGAUUUCGUUGCUUUCCUCGACUCAAUCCGCCUCGACGAGAUCCCGGGGGAAGAAGAAGAUCGCCAAGGAAACCAAAGAAAUAAACGUUUGCGAAAUCGAGGAUCAAGACACGCCAAUCUAUUGCUACUGCAACAAUAACGCCGUCAGAAACGCAACGGAGGCGAAAUGUUUGGUCCUGAGAUCGUUCGACUCGAACGAUCCGACGUGGGACUACUUUGGCUCGCAAAUCUACCUGGAGGAGCUGACCUUCAACGUCAAGAUGUUCAACGGUCUAGAAACUCUAGAGUACAUCCCCACUCAGCUGUUGCGACGUCUCAAGAACCUGCGGAAAAUCACCUUUCACUAUGCGAAAAUCGACCAGCUGCCAGAGUACGCGUUUUCGAAUCUCUCGACAAUCGCGUACAUCGACUUGAACAAAAAUUCCAUCUCCUCGUUGAGAAUGCACGCGUUCGAAAACAUGACAAAUCUGACGGUCGUUGCUUUGAACGAAAAUCGGAUCACCGAGAUUAACAGGGACACGUUUGUCGAUUUGCCGUCGCUAAAGAGACUCCUCCUCUCUCACAAUAACAUCAGCACACUGCACGACAAAGCGUUCAAGCAUCUGAUCACUCUGGAGGAGUUGGAGCUAUCCGACAAUCGAAUACAGGUGAUAACCGGUGAUAGUUUUCACAGUUUGAGAAAUCUGCUUCGACUAGACCUUCGAAACAAUUUAAUCGACAUGAUCGGCGACCGAACUUUCAUCGAGAUGCCGUCCCUGCGAGAUCUCGAGCUGGAUUCGAACAAGAUCGUAUACAUCUCGGAGAAAGCGCUCCAAGGGCUGAGAAAUCUGAGAAAACUUAGUCUUAGCGACAACAAGCUGAUUACUCUUGAGCCGGACUUUCUGGCCGGAGCACCGGGUGUUUACUUUCUGGACCUCAGGGAUAAUCAGCUCAAGACGAUAACCUUCGAUAACGUCAAACCGAUCGUGAGCAACAUGUACAACAGUACCAGCCACUUGUUCUUAAACGGCAAUAAUCUAAUUUGCGACUGCAAACUGGCAUGGAUCUGGGCUUUAAGAAACGAAACAAAGAAUAGAAAGCUGCGGGACGCCUUGGAAAAGCUCACUUGUUUCUUGGAGAGCAAUAACGCAUCGCGGAAGAUCAACAACGCGGACCAUGAAUGGAACGAAGCUCUCGAGAUUGCACGACAUUCACCAAAGGAAUAUCUGACCGAGAACAUCAGAACCGGCAAGUUCGAUACCGACAACGCCUACUUGGGCGACGAGUACGAGAGCGAAGAUGGCUACGAGGAUACGAAUUCCGAUUCUCAACCAAAAGUGCAGGUGAUAGAAGGCAAGUCGAUGCAAGUAAGGAAUUUGUUCGAGUUAAAAAUGGAGGAGCUUCCGUGUCCGGAGCCCUCGAGGGAGGAUCUAAUGGCCUCCGAACAACCCUCGAGUCGCCACGAGAACGCUCCCGUGGGCUCGUCGGGUUCCAUCUGGUUUUCAUCUACGGCAAAGUCUAUCCAUCUCGACUUGCCCGUUUUCGCAUACACCUUUGUCCUUCUGCUGGCGCGGCCGAUGCUCUUCAUCUUCACGUAGAGGCAGUUCGAGCUCCACUCGCUGGACGAUCCGAUAAGCGAAUCGGAAGUAUGGCCCAUGGCCGAGAACAAAGACAAGGACGAUUCGCGAUAUCUCGAUAUACGUGAAUAAUCGAGCCUGUAUGCUGCACGCUCGCGUACGAAUAAUAUAUUUAUACGAUAUGUGUCGUUGCGUACGCUCGCAGCGCACCGCGCGCCGUGUUCCAACUUUGAGGAAAGACCUUCGACUCGUUUACGUUGUCUUUGUUCCCGUUUAAUAUUUCGCGUACACUGUACAGUACUCGGUGUAGAGUGUAGAGUGUAUAGUGUAGAGUGUGGUGUGUAGAGUCAGUCAGCCUUAUAGACGAGUUUGCGGCAAUUUCUAGCCGCGUGUAUCGUAUCGGUGUUCGCGAGGCUAUCAUAAUAUCGUUCUCGUCGAAACAAGUUUCGCCAAUCGAGACGGAAGGGAAGUUGGCCGGGAGGCGAUCCCACGCGAACCUUAGUCAAUUCCCCGUGCAAUCAUGCCGGUUUUAUCGGUAACCAGAUUGUCAUAGUUCCAGCUCGAGGAGUUUCAGAGUUUGUCGAGUUUCUCGCCUAAACGCACAAAAUAUUCGUAUCGAGCGAUACGACUAUUUGUAUAAAUUAUUACUAUUAUCGAUAUAUAAUACGGGUUUCUCAAAGGCUUUGACACGACAUCUAAUAAAUCGUUGGUUUUUCUCAUUCGACUUCCCGCAACCGUUAUCUCUGAAACGUCCAGAUGAACCGAUUAAUAAACACAUGGAGCGUCUAACCCACGCCUGAAAAACGACAAAAGUAGCAAAGAAAUGAUCGAUAAUGUUGAGAUUGUUUGUAAUAGUAUAAACGUUACCAUAUAUAGUAUCGCGAUAUUAAUAGUUUAUAUGAAAGAUCCAACAGCAAAAUUACGUUGCCAGAGAAGAUACCAAGUAUGUACAUCGAUAGAGAAAGUUGAUCGAUCCCAACGAUGUGAAACACGAUUAAAUCAUUGGAAAUGUUAAGAAUGCUCUCUAGUUUUUAAUCUAAUCUGCGAUUUUAAGCAGCGUGUUAUCGAGACGACAAGAGUUGAUCGCUCGCGCACAACUUUUUUUUACUCUGCUCUAUUCGCGUAUCGUAAAUAACGUGUACGCGGGCUGCGACGCGACGCAACUCCAUUGGCGGUUUCUUUUCGAGAAAUGUCUCAAAAACAAUCUCGAAGAUCAUUCGAUAUCGAACAUAGCUAGUCUAAUCGAAACUUGGACCGCAGCUUUCGAGUAAUUUCUAAUGGUAAAAUUAAUCACAUUUUUAACCACGCAAAAUCAUGAAUUAUACAUUCCUGAAAAUUUCGUAACAGCCCGCGGCUCGUGCCAAUUUAGCCUAAGUAAGAUCUCCUCAUAAUCGUCAUCGUCAUCGUCAUCGUCAUCGUCAUCGUCAUCGUCAUCGUCAUCGUCAUCGUCAUCGUCAUCGUCAUCGUCAUCGUCAUCGUCAUUGUCCUUCGUCGACUUUGUGUACUUGAUCAUUCGAACGUCCUGUACGAUCGUAUUCUCUAGCACGACGUUUGGUGUUAAUCAAGACGCACGCAUGCGUACAAAAGGAAACAAACAAAAGCACUAGGUAGACAGAUAGAUAGACAGAUAGAUAGAUAGAUAGAUAGAUAGAUAGAGAGAGAGGGGGGGAGGGGGGCGAAGGAGAGGGAGAGGGAGAGAUUAUGUUUGGCGUUUUUUCGAUUAAGAAUAUACCCAAUGUAUUUGAGACAAUCGAAAUGUUUUUAAUGAUUCCCGAUUACAAAAUUUUGUGGAUAAGGCUUGAAUACGAAACUCUUCCUCUCUCCCUCAGUCUCGUUUACACUCAUAAGCACACUCAAAGUCACACUUGCUUGGUCACACUCGUAUCUCGUAGAUACCAAAGAUAAGUUCGGUUUUAGUCGUUAGAAAACUCCUAACUGGUAACAUAAUUCAUGGCCCGCCUGAUCACACUUACGAAUUAUACAAUUGUUAAACUCAAUUUAUUCUAAACAAGUUUGGAAACGAACACGGGUGUCAUCCGAUUUCGAGAACAAACAUUUUUCGUACAACUAUCGUUUAAGGUAUAAAGAUAAGAAGGUUACGAUAAGUUAAGAUUUUACUAAACUACUUACGAAUUAUUGUCAAACUGUAAUAUGUAUUAUAUGUCUUUUUUAUCUUCUUUUCUUCUUUUUGUAAAAUCUAACGGUAAUAAAGAAAUCGUCGAGAAAAAUAGAUGCGACCAUUUUCCUUAAAAUAUAGAACGCUAGACCUAGAGAUGACACUUGCUUGCAUGCUUGCUGGUUUCUUUAAUAAACAGUUACACAGGAACGUUAAGAAGAAGAAGAAGAGUAAAUAAUGCUACAGUUUGUAUCACAAAUGUCACAAUUCAAGGAUCACAAUUGUCAAUGCAUAGUCGAAUCAACGCUCGGUCUCGCAUACACAAAGCCAGCCGCAUCGAUGCUCAUCGAUUGGUGUAGCAGCGUAAAUCGGUCGCGUGUCAUCCGUCGAUGUUAAACGUCUGCUGGCGCACGAGUUCCGUUUCGCUCGUCUUCGAGAGAGGAAAAUCGCGCGAUUUGUUCGUUGUUUCGUCAGGAAGCUCGUUCGAUUUCGUAAUUAAUCGUAAUUUAAAUUCAGUAUAUUCGGUGAAUCGUAGCGUAGAUUUCGCUUACAUUCAUUUUUUUAGAGUUAUUUGGAAAAGAUUUGUCGCGAAGGUGCGCGGCGAUUGGCUCGGCAGAAAUUUGUCGAUAGCAGGGCAUAAAAUAGCUGUCGAGCGAGCGGUUCGGUUCCAUCGAGGCUUUCGCGAAAGACGCGAUCGCAAGCUCAUCGGAAAGAGUGUCCGCUUGAAAAGUUCGCGACUCGCCGAGGGAUCUCCGUGUCCUGGAAACAAACUUUUCCACAUAUUCCUCGUACUCGACCAGACGUGAACGUAAUCGCGAUCGCGAACCACGGAAUUAUGUAAAAAUAUCAAUUGUUGCUAAUUCUCGGAGUUUAUAUAAAUCCGUUUGAGGAUCUCAUGGAAACUCGCAGUGCCAGUUUACGUCUACCGAGUGCAGUUGAACGUGUUUGAGCCUCGACGCACUACAAGUUUCUCUUGCUGUAAAAGCUUCCGAGAUUCGCGUCGUCGAAGAAUCAUCGAAACGAUAAAACGAGAAUCCAGCGAGUUGCUUGCAUUUCUACUACUAGUUUAGAGCGUGCGUUGAUUGCAAACGAUGCAAUUAUUUCCACACGAGAAAUUCGUCGAAUGGAAUGGCUUUUUUUUUAACAUUGAGACGAUUGAACAGAAGCAAAUCACGGCAACCGACAGCGAUGGCGACGCGACGUUGCAGUAAAGUGCGGCUCGUAGAGUAACUCGCACCGAUCACCGUGAAAAUCCUCUGAUUAUCAGUGAAAGAGAGAAUAAGAGAAAGAAAAAGAAAGAGAAACAUAAAAUGAAAGAAUAAUUAUACCCGUACGCGCGAGUGUGUGAAACGAUCGACAGCCUGUGAAGGAGAAACGAGCUUUAUCGGUUCGAGGAAACAAGAGUAUUCGAAUUAAAAUG